GGGGGGCUUGGCGUCAGAAACGAGGGUAAGAGGUGAGGGAACGAAAGAAAAGAACUGAAGGUAAGGAAGGAAUAACUAUGAUGAUUCUUUGAUCCUUCUAUAUAUACAUAUGCCUUGCAGCCCUAUAAUUCAUAGCACAGAGAGAGUAUGGAGUGAACCAUCUUAUCUGAUUAUUAUUACUAUAGAUAUUAUUUAUAUCUCUUGUCUUGUUGAGUGUUAAAUCACCUCUUCUUCUCCCCUACUGCCCUUUUCAAUUAAUUACACCCAUAACCACCCACCUCUCCCUCCCUUUCUCUCUCUUAUUUACUGUGCUAUGCCUUCCUUUCAUCUUAAAUAGAACCCAUCUGCUCCUCCUGCCCCCAUGUGUAGUCUCCAAAGAUUGUUGCUGCUCUCUAGCUGUCUAUCUGUCUGUCUUCUUCGUAUGUGUUUGUGCCUUCCAGUGGUGAAUACUAGGACUGCUAGCUAGCUUUCAUGUGGGUUUUGCAAAGGGUUUCUUACAGAGUUUAUUGGCAUUCUGUCCACCUCCAUCUGUAGAAACUACAAGUUGUUCUACUUUCUGGAGGUGGGCAUACUGCCAACUGAGCUCUGUUGGUCUCUCUUUGUAAAACCCUCGUGAUUAGUCUCUCAUCAUCUAUUCGCUCAAUCUCUUGCAAGAAAAGAGGAACAAAGCUUCUGGUCCUUACUUGGUAUCUAUGUGAUGACUCCAACCUUACUAUCUUUGUUUCACCAAGAAAACAGAAAAUAGAAGAGAAUCACUUCGACCUGCUUUCAUCGUCGGUGCUUUGCCAUGGUUCAGUUUUCUGCAGGAAACUAGAGGUGUUGAGAGACAUCAUUCACAAAAUUCUGAUUUCCAUUUAGGAGAUCUUAGCAUAUGUGACUUCUUCAUGGGUUUCUGGGUUAUAUUUACGAGUAAAUUUCAUAAUCUAACAGCGCAUAGAGCAUUUGCUUUCUUCAUCUCAUCAUCUAGGGUUUUAUUUCUCUCUUAUUUUCCCUUUGAAUCUAACUCACCCAGGGUUCGAGAUUACUGUUCAAGAUUCAAAAGUAUGAAGGUUUGGCGAUGCAUCUUGCAUGGAAUUAAAAUGAGGGAUCAAGUGAUCAUACCGAUUGUUCACCAGGGCUAGUUCAACUUCACGACAGGAUCCAUUGAAGGUCCUAAUUUGGUUCAAAACCUUCUUGUAACCAUCUUCUUUCAGCUUUAUUAUGUACAUGAUUAAUCAUGUUGAGUAUCUUGUUGGAGAUUUCUUUGUUCA